CAAGGGGUAGUAGAUCCCCGUGAUGGUCAUUGUUUACUUUAAUGUCCAAGGGGUAGUAGAUCCCCGUGAUGGUCAUUGUUUACUUUACAAUACACUGUAUAAUACAUUGAUUUGUGUGAGUCUAUGGGGUUGAGGGUGACCUUUGCGAGCACUCCAUCCCCACAAAUACACAGCAUGUGUAUUCCCCAUAGACGAAAAAACCCAAUUCCCACCACAACUGUAAUCGUAUAGAAGACAGAUGAUCUUUGUGCUUUUCGAAGACAUGUCGUCUAUAUUUGUCUUUCGAC